rnacentral:lncRNA from 1 species
ACACUUCCUUACCUUCAUUAUUGUCAGGUCAUCCAUUGGACCAUCAGGUGUCCUGUUCAUCAUUGCUCCUAAAGCAGUUCUCAUUGCAAUCUGCAUUGCUGCUUCAACUUCCUUGGAAGCUUCAAGAGCAGUUGAAUUAGCUGCGGCAACUACAGUGGCCACUGUUCCCAAUUUUGUCGACCCAUUUCCACUUAACGAGUUCACAGCCUCUUUGUGAGC